UCUGUACCUGUAAGGGAUUCUCAUCAGCAGAAAAUAAACAGGUUAAAGCAGCAAGAAGAACAACUUUCAUCUUUGGAGAUCUUGCCUUUAAUCUCAAGCCAUCCUAGAGCCCUCAUCCAGUGGCUGAUGGAAGCAGAGACAGACAUCCACAGAUAUACUCUGAACAAAACUCUGGAACUUAGUUGAAGAGAUGGAAGAAUGAAGAUCGAAUGGGAGCAUUCUAGAAUUACUGCUUUGCAUUCAAAGUCAUACAAGAAAAUUUUAUAAUUCCUUUUCUCAAUGUCUUGGCCGACACUGCCCUGACUACUCUAUGCCUUGCUGCCAACAAGGAU
rnacentral:lncRNA from 1 species